rnacentral:rRNA from 1 species
ACAGGUGGUGCAUGGUUGUCGUCAGCUCGUGUCGUGAGAUGUUGGGUUAAGUCCCGCAACGAGCGCAACCCUUGUGUUUAGUUUGCAAACAAGGUCAAGCUGUGCACUCUAGACAGACUGCCGUGGACAACACGGAGGAAGGUGGGGGAUGACGUCAAAUCAUCAUGCCCCUUAUGAUCUGGGCUACACACGUGCUACAAUGGCCGGUACAACGGGCAGCGAAGGAGCGAUCCGGAGCGAAUCCUAAAAAGCCGGUCCCAGUUCGGAUUGCAGGCUGAAACUCGCCUACAUGAAGUUGGAGUUGCUAGUAAUCGCGAAUCAGAAUGUCGCGGUGAAUGCGUUCCCGGGUCUU